rnacentral:misc_RNA from 1 species
UAAUAAGUGUUUUUAUAUGGCACUUUUUAAAUCCAUAUCCACCUUGUGUGCAAUGUCAGUCGAUCUUCUUCAUGGAGAUCGACCAAACAUCAACCUUUAUCUUUUAACUCUUUGUCUGAAAAAUAUUACGAAUAAACAAUUCAAAAUA